UCCGGCAGGACGCCGGACAAGUUGUAUGUGUGCGAGUUUUAGGCUUGUGCCUAAAACUCGAGUUCAAAACCGAAUAGGAGGUUCGGUUUUGAAACGUAA
rnacentral:sRNA from 1 species